CUCACAUCUGAGUAUCUCGGAUACAAAUGGAUGAAAGACAUAGGCUUUGAUCCCACUGUGAAAGUGAGGUUUCUCAUGCGGACGGUGAAAAAACAAUUUGGUUAUGAAGUCAAGUAUGGGAAGGCAUGGAAGGCAAAGGCAAAUGCUAUUAGGAUGUUGUAUGGUGGUUAUGAAGAAGCAUACAACCAGCUCCCAAGGUUGUUGGCCGCCAUUGCACAUAGGAACCCGGGCAUGUUUCAUGUGGUCGAGGAUCACGAGGGAGUGUUCCACCGUGCCUUCUGGAGUUAUGGACAAUGUGUGGAGGCGUUUCAGCAUUGUCGUCCGGUCUUGUCUAUAGAUGGCACGUUCUUGACCGGUAGAUACAAGGGCACACUAAUGGUAGCAAUGGCGCACUCAUCAAACGACAACGUGUUGUCGUGUGCAUUUGCUUUGGUGCCUUCCGAGCACCAAGACAACUGGGAGUGGUUCAUGGGUCAUGUUAGGCACAACGUGAUUGGGGCUAGGGAGGUAUGCAUCAUAUCGGACCGGCAUCAUGGCAUACUCAAGGCAAUGGACAUUGUUAUUCCAGGAUUUCCAAAGCUUCACCACAGAUGGUGCAUGAGGCAUUUCGUGGCCAACAUUUACCGGGCAUGUAAGAGCAAGGAGCUCAGCAAAGUCCUUACCCAUGUAUGCGUGGCCUUCACCACCCAAGGUUUCGAUGCUCGGUACAACAAACUAUUUGCAGCGGUGAACGAAGGGGGAAAAGACUUCUUAACUAGGAAUUUAAGUGAGAAGCACAAGUGGGCACGCGCUCAU
rnacentral:rRNA from 1 species